GCAGUGGGCGGCCAUGACAGGCGGCACCUCGGGGUUCAACUUCAUUAAAACCAACAUAUCUUACUCAAAUCAACAUUUCUCAUUUACCUUUGAUCAGAUUGUGAUUCUGGCCGGCCACACCCACCCUGCAGUGAUCUCGGCCAUGACCCUGAAAUUGUGGGUGUUCCUCCAGGCCGAGACGAACGGGGCUCCGUAUUCCAGCAGCAGCUUCUCGUUAUCUGCACACAGUAACAGCGGUUAGCGGCGUCGCCGCGGCCGCCUGGACACUGUGGACACUGUGGACACGGCGACGGACGGGUCCCGACCCUGCUGCAGUACAACAAAAAGUAGAACAAAAAAAAACUGUGCAGGGCUGCGAACUUCAUGAGCCUGAACGAACGCAACGUGUCAUUAAAUAAAAAAACAAGUAUUUCGACCUUCUACAGAAGUUCACGUCUGGCUUUAAACUGGACCUGGGACCCCUGAAGGAGCCGCUCGGGGUUAUUCGAGUUCUGGAGUGGGGAGGUCUCGACAAACAGCCCGUUUUGUGACCUGAAACCUGAUUGGACGAUCCGCGUCGGGCGCCGUUGGUCGGAACGGAAUUAUCGAGGGUACCGGGUCGGGAGGACACGGGGACGCGGCGAGUCGGUGUGGGGCGGCGUCCUCGGUAAUCCCCGCGGGCAGAGUCGAGUCGUGUCCAGGUGUCAUUUUUACACUCCCGUGUGUGGAAACGGGUGGCCGCUGGUGCCAUAUAAAUACCGUGUCGCUAAUAAGAGACGUAAGGCUCCCACGUAACGUGGGACACUCGACCCCCCGCGACAGCACCGCACAAGCGGGACACCUGCAGAGACGGUCCACCAUUGGUAGCAUAGUAGCAACACACUCGCCUGCGAACCAGAAGACCCAGGUUAAAAACCCACUUGCUACCAUUGUGUCCCCGAGCAGGACAACCCACACAACCAGGGGGACAGACCGCAACUAGUCUGGUAAAUGCUGUAAAUGUAGGAUUAUGACCCCACUGUGUGAUGAGUGGUGGGUUAAGGACGUGGUCCCGUAACCAGAAGGUUGCCAGUUACUGCGCUUCGUCGCUCGUUGGGAUUCCGG
ensembl:lncRNA